AGUUUUUUUUGUGCCAGAUAAAAGGGUAAAAACCUAUUACUAUAUCUUGCUACUGGCAAAGAAGGUCUCAUAAAGAAAUGUAACUGUGAAAACAACAAAGGGGGCAGCCGUUCCUGCGGCCGAUCAGAGACAAUAGCCGAUGACGUCAUCGCCGUUGUGAGGCUGAGCGGUGUCGCGCUCGCAGGCGAACAACGACGACGCAGGCGCAAAUCUAACUCUUUUUAUUAUUACACCCCCCCCCCCCCGAACGUUUUUAACUAAGUUAAAGGGUACACGUAAACAGUACGACGUACAACUAAACUUUAUCUAAAAACAUGUAAUGCAGACAAUUUGCAAGUGUUAAAUAUCGACGUUCGAAAUGUCGAUUAGUGAAUAACCGCAAAGAUCAUGAGGCUCACAAGAAGCUUUCUUGCCGCAGCGGCAUAACGUAUUUCGCCUCUCACGACGGACAUCCCGCGUUCAAAUCCAGACCUUUAAACGGUUCAAUUUUUCGUCUAUUUAGACAAACGUGAUGACGUCAGCACGUACUACUGCAGUGCAACGUGCGCGCCAGUGCAAUCACGACAGCGGACGUAGCCCUGUGUGGGAGACGCGGUGGCUUGGCUGGCAAAGCAGAGAGUCCAGCAAUGUGAAGCGGACCUGGGUUCAACAUCCCCACCCCACGUCGAGAAGCGAAAACUAAAUUCGCACAUAGACGAGACUUCAAACAAGGCGAGGUGCUUCACAGGUGAAUGACAUGGACCAUUUGAAGUUUACAUAAAGGUACACGAGUAUAACCAACAGACAAUUAUAUAUAGAUGUGCAAUUAAAUGAGUGUAGCAAUAAAACAAAUAUACCAUCUUGUAAUAUAUAUGUCCACUUAGAUUUCGUAAGCAUUGCCAUAAUUAUAUUCAUAAUUGCAGAUAUUUUUACAAUUUUAUAUAAAACCACAUCAAUCACAAUUUAUUACAAAUACAUGAGGAUGUAUGCAGACAAUAUGCAAUGAAAAUAUAUGUAAGGAAGUAACUAUUUUAAUACCUUGCACGUGACAAAAAGUAAUGAAGCUUAUCCAGCGACAAAUUAACAGGGAUUUUUCCUCCAAAGAACAUUUUCACUCACUAACCUUUACACGGCUUUGCUUGAUCCCCUCCACAAUCUGCUCCAGCUGUUUCAGAAACUGCUCUCUGCCACCUUGUGAAGCCAUGGCCCUUUGGAAAUCACAAUGCACAGGGACCUUUCUUACAACUGCGAUAAAAAUGGCGACACCAAUUGCCCAGCUAUUCCAAAUGACUUGGCGACAUUGUUUCUCUACCAACUGUAACCUGACAUAGAUUGAAAAAAUAUUGUCUUUGCUCCAAUCCUGAUGCAAGAUAAGUAUAAUUACGUAGUUUUCAAGUAUUGUCAUCAGUGUUUUGUCCUGGCUAAAGUAAAGCUGAUGUUCUCUCACAACAUCGGUUGAUCUGUCAGUUAUAUUAAGUAGAGCCAAAUGUGGUUAAUAUGUUUUGCAUACGAGGGUUGUGGAUGCAGUAUUAGAAAAUAAGUGUCAUUGUUAAGUUAUACAUUUUUUUAACAAUACAUGGUAUAACCAGUCACCUAUACAUACUUACUGCUGGAAGUUGUCAUGGAUGGAAUUCAGCAAAUUAACCUAAGAGACAGUAAAAUGUGUUAUGUUCAUUUUACGAAUAGGCAACUCAUUUAAAUAUAAAACAAUUAAAUACAACUAUACAUUUUCCAUUGUAUUAUCUUAUUGUUAAUUCAUUUGUCCAUCUUAUUAAUAAUUUGUCUUUUUGGGUUUAGUUUGUUGUCCUUCCCUCGCACCUUUGAUUAGCACGGUUGGCUACGUAUGGUGCAAAAGAAGUUCAACAUUAUCUGCAAUAUACAAGUGAGGCACAUUACACUAUAUUUUAGUUACAAUAAUCAAUACCAUCAACACAUUUAGUUGGAAAGGUCCUUCCAGUAAAAAAAUGGAUGCCAACUGUGCAAAUUAUGUUAAACUAUACAAACAAAAAAGUCAGUCAGUAGUCUUUAUUUAACCAGGCAGCUAAAUAAACCCAUCGAGACACAAGACACAUUGCUGCCUCUUUUUCAAAUGGUGAUCUGGGAAGGUGACAAUGUUGAUUCCUUUUAAUUCAAUACUGGAAAAAUAACCUUGUUGUAAUUAUUCACAUUUACAUGCACAAACUAAUAUUCUGAAUAAACCCGAUCAAAGGUAUUACUUAUAGUUGAUACACUUUUUUUCAAUAUAACAUAGCAUACCUCUUUUUCCAGAUACAGCUUCUUGUCAUCCAGCGUGUUGUACAAAGUAUAAAAUUGCUUCGUCUCUUUAUGGGUGGCAGCCACUACACAUCGGAGAAAAUGUGGAUUUCAUAUACUCCAGACCACAAUACAGCACGGGAUAUUAUUAACACAUGGUAAAUGUUAUAAAAUAAUAAAGCUCACAUGAAUACUCUUCUUCAGCACCAAUGCAUACACAUUUUAGCAUAAAACUACACUGGAAAUCGUUAAAAUAUAGCAAAAUUGGUUGAGAUUUCAGGUAUCUUCAGUCAAACCUAAUGUGGUUAAUGCUUCACAAUCUUUAACACAGGAGGGUGAAGUACUUAUUGUUUUGUAGGUGCCUGUAAAUGCUUGUUCUUUUUGUUAUAUUUCAUUAUGAUCAUUUCUUCCUACCCUGGCUGUAGAGCUCCACAAAGCGACGCUGGUACUGAGUCAGCUCAGCCCGGCUGGGGACUUCAUCAAUCUUGCGCUGCAAGAUCGCAAUCUCUCGGUUUCUCCUCCCCUAAAAAAAGAAUCACACCAAAAUCAAGCACAAGGAAUUAUAUGUUUCGUAUAAUCACUAUGCAUUCUAUGAGUAUAUCAUUAUUGUGUUUACCGAGUGCAAUUUUAUCCAUUUGUGCUUUGAUUCAACAGUUUGUGUUACUUGCCAAGAGCAUGCGUAUCUUCUGCAGUUUGUCGAUAUCCGUGCGGUAUUGCUUUUCAAUCAACUGGUCUUGUUCCUAAAAAAACAGUUAUUGUUUAAUUAUAAAGUACUAAUAUGAUUGGAUUGGCAUACAUAUGCUUUCAGAGUAUCUGUACUCAAUUUGCUGUGCAAUGUAAAGUUUAAUUUUAAUGAACACUAUAAAUUAUAUAUUGUACAAUACAUAAAUUAUAAAUUAAAAUCUUUAAAUCACUUAUGUACUUUCUAUGCUUUUGCAUUAUUGUGUUCAUGGUAUUUCAAUAAAAAAUUGUCAUAGAUUUAAAUAACUUUAAGUGAUUAAAUUCCAUUUUUCUAAAUGCCAAGCACGGCUCAGCAGUUUAUCAAGUACUUCUUUUUAAAAAAUGAGGGCAAUUUAUGCAAAUGCAGAUUAUCUCCUUACAGCCUCUUCUCCAGUCGUAUUGUUGGUCUGAAGCUUUAACUCUUCAAUGCUGCUCUGUAGACGCGUCAAUUCUUCCUAUUAAAAAAAAA